rnacentral:rRNA from 1 species
AAUUGGCAGGUCGAGCGGAGCGAGGGUGCUUGCACCUUAGCUUAGCGGCGGACGGGUGAGUAAUGCUUAGGAAUCUGCCUAUUAGUGGGGGACAACAUUCCGAAAGGAAUGCUAAUACCGCAUACGCCCUACGGGGGAAAGCAGGGGAUCUUCGGACCUUGCGCUAAUAGAUGAGCCUAAGUCGGAUUAGCUAGUUGGUGGGGUAAAGGCCUACCAAGGCGACGAUCUGUAGCGGGUCUGAGAGGAUGAUCCGCCACACUGGGACUGAGACACGGCCCAGACUCCUACGGGAGGCAGCAGUGGGGAAUAUUGGACAAUGGGCGGAAGCCUGAUCCAGCCAUGCCGCGUGUGUGAAGAAGGCCUUUUGGUUGUAAAGCACUUUAAGCGAGGAGGAGGCUACUUAGAUUAAUACUCUAGGAUAGUGGACGUUACUCGCAGAAUAAGCACCGGCUAACUCUGUGCCAGCAGCCGCGGUAAUACAGAGGGUGCGAGCGUUAAUCGGAUUUACUGGGCGUAAAGCGUGCGUAGGCGGCUUUUUAAGUCGGAUGUGAAAUCCCCGAGCUUAACUUGGGAAUUGCAUUCGAUACUGGGAAGCUAGAGUAUGGGAGAGGAUGGUAGAAUUCCAGGUGUAGCGGUGAAAUGCGUAGAGAUCUGGAGGAAUACCGAUGGCGAAGGCAGCCAUCUGGCCUAAUACUGACGCUGAGGUACGAAAGCAUGGGGAGCAAACAGGAUUAGAUACCCUGGUAGUCCAUGCCGUAAACGAUGUCUACUAGCCGUUGGGGCCUUUGAGGCUUUAGUGGCGCAGCUAACGCGAUAAGUAGACCGCCUGGGGAGUACGGUCGCAAGACUAAAACUCAAAUGAAUUGACGGGGGCCCGCACAAGCGGUGGAGCAUGUGGGUUUAAUUCGAUGCAACGCGAAGAACCUUACCUGGUCUUGACAUACAGAGAACUUUCCAGAGAUG